rnacentral:misc_RNA from 1 species
UUCGGUUGUUUGCAUGGCACUUUAGCCGUGCAGGUGGCUGUUACGCAGUGCGGCUUCGGGGAUGUCUCGUAAAAGGUGCAUGAGUGGUGUUUGGUUUGAUACGGGUGGUUGGCUCCCUGCUUGAGCAGGCACGGCCACGCGUACAUUCCUUUUCAGUUGUGCGGCAAGGCUUGUAUUGUCUUGAUCGUAUAGUCGGGUUUCCUGUGUUGCCUACCUGAUCAACGGCAUCGUUUUGAUCAAAAGCGAUACCUUUUUCGUCAGGCGUUGCACUCGCAAUGUCCGAUGAACCAUGUAGCAUCCUCUUUGUUCCCAAUAGUCGACGAGCAUUCGUUGAUUGUUGGGCCCGUUGAGGGUGGCUUGGCCUCUUGGAUUUGGAAGCUAAAGUGGGCAUGGGUUUAUAUGAUCCUUUUAUUGCCCUCGUUGAGCGUUAUCGCUUCUCUUAAACGACCGCCUUUCACGUAUGGCACGUCCCAGCGUGUUUGGCUAUGUCGAAGAGGAAUGUUACCUGGUUGAUCCUGCCAGUAGUCAUAUGCUUGUCUCAAAGAUUAA